rnacentral:lncRNA from 1 species
GAAAGAUCCGAACUUGGCCUUCUUAAAAACAAUCACAGCCCAACUACAAACUCUCCUCGGUGUUUCCCUAAUCGAGAUAUUAUCUAGGCAUCCAACUGAUGAGGUAUACCUUGGGCAGAGAGAUACAGCAGAAUGGACAUCAGAUCGUGAACCACUAGCAGCAUUUGAAAGAUUUUCAGAAAGGCUGAAAGAAAUUGAAAACAAAAUCAUGGACAUGAACAGUGACAAUAAAUACAAGAACAGAAUUGGGCCAGUCAAGGUGCCUUACACCUUACUUUUUCCUAACACCUCAGAUGAAUCUAGACAGGGUGGACUCACUGGCAAGGGGAUUCCCAACAGUAUAUCAAUAUAAAUCUUUUCUAUCAAAACAGCAAUAGCAUUCAUUAAGUUAAUUAUGUAAGUAGGGGCAGCUUAGUGGUUUGUAUUCAAAUUUAUUUUUAUCUAACUAGUAAAAGGAAUUAUGUGCAAGUAAUUAUGGAAUUUUCUAACAUAUAUAUCACAAGCAUCUAUUGAGUGUAAACUUAUACCUAUACAAGUGAGAUAUAUCUGUUAUGUUGAAACUAGAGUUGAAUAAAGCCAAACUAUAUGUGACAAACAUAUAAAUUGAUAAAAUCAGCCAUGGCAACUGAAACCUCUAUCUAUCCUCUAGGUCACAUUGGCAUAAUUAUACCAAAAAUUUGUAGCUCCCUGAAACUUAACAAAAUCAAUGACACAGAUACGUACAAUACAGCAAGCUGAGAUCAAAACAAGAAAAAAAAAAACACUUAUUUCCCUUUCUUUCAGCAAACGAGAAAAUCAUCGAAGAAUAACUAAUAACCAGUACAAGUUCAAGCCAAACGAACGUAGAGAAUAAACAGAAAGAAAGCAUUCGAUUAUAAGCGAAAUAAACAUAGGAGAAAUUAGAGCAAGAUUGUAACUUUGCAGGCUCUUUACAUGGAAACCCAGCAACCGUAUUGGCAAAAGAUUGUCCU